AAGCUGAAGACUUCCCGUACCUGCACCAGCUGUGGAGUUAUAGUUUAUGGUCAGGAGGAUUAUAAUCACCUGUCACUGAGCCUGAGCCAUGACCUGCCACACAGCCUGGACCUCUACUUUAAGCCAUCUGCGUUAGAGUGUGCAUGCAGGGUGUGCUCAGGAAGCACGGCAUCUGUGACUAGGCACUUCCUCA